GCAAACAACCGCCGCCCCCACCUCCCGCACCUCUCUCUAAUAUCUCGGCUCCCAUCUCCCCCACGCGUCGUCGGACCCUGCAUCGCCCCGAUCCAAUCGCCGCCUGGGCCACCCCGGCACAUCGACGGAGCUCGCCAUGCUGAUCCCCUUGCUCGUUCGCUCAUUUGAGACUCGGACAUGGCAGACUACAACUUAGUGUACAAGGACGUGGAGGGGGCGACUACGUAGUGGGAAGACAUCCAACACAAGCUCGGGAACCUGCCGGAGAAGCCGGAGACUUCAAGCUGCCGCCCUUCGCCCCCAGGGUCGACGCCAAUGAGCAGACAAGGCCCAAGUAGUGGCUCGACGCGCGUGACCCUGACGACCUUGACGAGCUUGAGGACGACAACCGCUUCCUCGAGAAGUACAUGAGGAUGAGGCUUGCAGAGCUCAAGGAGGCAGCAAAAAUGGACAGAUUUGGAGCUCACGCGCCUCCUCUACUUCGUGGAUGGAGCUCGUGCGCCUCCCCAACUGCGGCGUCAAGGCCGUUCACCGUCGCAACCAAUGUGGUUCAACUCCCCGAUCUCCCUCGUCUCUGAUUCUACAGAGAGCUCGAGUGCAGCCACUCCCUUGUUUCUCUUCCGCCUCCUUUGAAUCUAACUAGUUGUUGUGCCGGCCCAAAAAUCACAUCCAUCAGCGUGCAGUGUUGAGCCGUCGUGCAGGAUCCCCAUGAGCCUAGUACGACGAACCUUGCCGCCACUUCGAGAUGGACCUUAACCGUUCGUCCGACGUCAUGGCUCACCGUCCCACCUUGCCCCGCUCUAGUUCUCAUGUCGUCCGAGGUGGAUUUCACCUGUUGUCCGUUGGAGAAGUUUAGGGAGGUGUGAAAUUGUAAAGUUAUGAUUGUGAUUGUCAGCUAUCCAUAUGUAUAUUGUUUGUUGUCUUUAGGGAGGUGAGAAAUUGUAAAGUUGCUGCUUUCUAGCUAGAGGAUCCAACCUAGAACAGACUUUACACUGUGCUAUUUUUAUCCUAGUCAAACUUGUUCAUCCAGAAAUUUUACAGUACAUUGUGCUAUUAUGGUCA